rnacentral:rRNA from 1 species
GACGAACGCUGGCGGCGUGCCUAAUACAUGCAAGUAGAACGCUGAAGCUCGGUGCUUGCACCGAGCGGAUGAGUUGCGAACGGGUGAGUAACGCGUAGGUAACCUGCCUGGUAGCGGGGGAUAACUAUUGGAAACGAUAGCUAAUACCGCAUAAAAUGGAUUAUCGCAUGAUAAUCGAUUGAAAGGUGCAAAUGCAUCACUACCAGAUGGACCUGCGUUGUAUUAGCUAGUUGGUGGGGUAACGGCUCACCAAGGCGACGAUACAUAGCCGACCUGAGAGGGUGAUCGGCCACACUGGGACUGAGACACGGCCCAGACUCCUACGGGAGGCAGCAGUAGGGAAUCUUCGGCAAUGGACGGAAGUCUGACCGAGCAACGCCGCGUGAGUGAAGAAGGUUUUCGGAUCGUAAAGCUCUGUUGUAAGAGAAGAACGAGUGUGAGAGUGGAAAGUUCACACUGUGACGGUAUCUUACCAGAAAGGGACGGCUAACUACGUGCCAGCAGCCGCGGUAAUACGUAGGUCCCGAGCGUUGUCCGGAUUUAUUGGGCGUAAAGCGAGCGCAGGCGGUUAGAUAAGUCUGAAGUUAAAGGCUGUGGCUUAACCAUAGUACGCUUUGGAAACUGUUUAACUUGAGUGCAAGAGGGGAGAGUGGAAUUCCAUGUGUAGCGGUGAAAUGCGUAGAUAUAUGGAGGAACACCGGUGGCGAAAGCGGCUCUCUGGCUUGUAACUGACGCUGAGGCUCGAAAGCGUGGGGAGCAAACAGG